UGAGAAUUACAUUACUGGUCCUUUCUAGAUCUGCAGUCACUGGGCUGAGCCACACCACUGUCUUCCACAACCCCCAGAUCUCAGAAAGUCUAUCAGAAAACUUCUCCAUCCUUAUAACCACACAAGCCUAUUCUAAUAAGGCCCAUUUCGGGGCUUCCCAGCUGUAUAUCCUGUUGAUUCCGUUCCUAUGGAAACCCUUACAAUCAAUCGAGUUCUAUUUGUCCUAUCCACUUUCAGCCUCUCCACUCUACCUCAUGCUCAUGGCUUAAUCCACGGUUAAAUCCAGAGCUGCAGCUGGUUUUCUUGAUGGCAGGGUCCCACGGACACUUCACCAAAGAAAAUCAACAGAGGGCAGUUAAGCAUAAGGAAAGAUCCCAACAUCAAAAGCCAAGAAAGGAAUUACAAAAUGGGCCAUGAGAUGCUGCUAUGCAGCUCCCAGAUGAUGAACGUCUAGAACACCAUCAACAGUGAAUGCCCACAGGCAGAAGUCUCGAAAAGACUCUUCUCGAAGGAAGAUAUGUCAACUGAAUAAGCCCAUGGAAAAGGGUCAGCAUCAUUAGUCACCGAAGAAAUAAAGUUUAAACUGCAAGUUAAAUUUCAUGCCCAACAAAAUGGCUGCAAUCCUAAGGAGCCUUUGAACAAGGAUGUCACCUUCAAAGAAGAGUAGUUCUACUGGGACAUUACGGAGCAAUGAUGGGUGAGAAAGGCUGAAACACCUGACACCAUCAAGGGGAUGUGGGUCCUGAUGCUGGAGCCCUGCUGUGCUGACUAACGUGGCAGCUCCCUGGAAUCUAUGCUAAGUGAGACAAAUGGAUCUUGGCAUGUUGAAGCCAUCUUGGUUGGGCUUUCUGUACAUUAUUGCCAAACCUACACA